CUUUGUUGCCAGGCUGGAGUGCAGUGGUACAGUCUUGGCUCACUGCAGCCUCAAACUCCUGGGCACAAGCAAUCCUCCCACCUCAGACUCCCAAGUAGCUGGGAUUAUAGGUGUGAUGCCUCACCACACCCAGCUAAUUUUUGUAUUUUUUGUAGAGACAGAUUUUCACUAUGUUGGCCAGGCUGGUCUUGAACUCCUGGCCUCAGGUAAUCCACCCACCUCGGCCUCCCAAAGUGCUGGGAUGACAGGGUUGAGCCACCAUGCCUGUUGGUUGCCUUUUUACUCUAUCAAUAGUAUUUUUUCAUGCUCAAGAGUGUUGAUUUUAAUGUAGUCUAGUUGUCUAUUUUUUUUUCCUUUUUGUUGCCUGUGCUUUGGGUGUCAUAUCUAAUUAAUCAUUGCCAAAUCUAGUGUUAUGAAGUUUUCUCACAUGUUUUCUUCUGAGAGUGUAUGGUUUUAGUGCUUAUCCUCAGGUUGCUUACCCAUUUUGAGUUAUUUUUUGGCGAUGGUGUGAAGGAAGGGCCCAGCUUCGCUGCUCUGCACAUGGAAUGAGUUCCCAGCUCUGCUUGUUGGAGACACUGUCCUUUCCCCACUGGAUGGUCUGGCACCAUCGUCAAGAAUGGUUUGACUAGCUAAUGCUUUUUUGCAGGUUUUUGUUGAAAUGUGGCUUCAUCACUAUUCCUUGGAGAUGUAUCAAAAAAUGCAGUCCCCUCACACCAAGGUGAGUCGUUC
rnacentral:lncRNA from 1 species